rnacentral:lncRNA from 1 species
UCAGUCAAUUGUUAUUAGUCUAACUUAAAAAUGGAAAGAAAGAAAUGUAGCUGCCACAUAAGGCCAGAUUGUUAAAUAAGAAUCACACAAACUAGAGGUCUUACCGAGUCCCAAGCUUUAUGAAUAACUUGAGGGAGAAAAGCAAUCAUGACACACAGGCAUUGCUGUAGACCUGAAACUAACACAAUACUGUCAAUUGACUAUACUUCAAUUUUUAAAUAGUUUGAAAAAAAAGCACAGGACGAGGUCUCAAACAUUGAGGAGAGAUCCAUGUUCUUUCGUUCUUCAUUAACUGCAGAUAUAUGCCUUCCACAGUGGGAAGCAUUUAGGUUAUUAACCUAAGUUGUAGUUUUAGAGUUUUCAGACCAUUCUCCAUGUAGCCACAACUCAUUGUAUCAUAGCUUCCCGGUUUCUUUACCAUAACUAAUCCUAAAUUAGUGAUACUGCUAAAAUCAUUCUUUAAAGACGUAUUCUCUCUCCAUCAUUUACCAGAAGGUUCAGUGAUCAGAAUGUUCACAAGGAGAUUAGACUAGAUUGUCUACUUUUUUUUUUUUUUUUCUCCAGAGGGUUCCUAGUAAGAGGGAGAAAAAUGGAUUGUAGACAGACUGCUUUAACUUCUAUUUCUCAAGUGAAAUAAUGUGGACUUUCAGUUUUUAUCAUGAAAUUAUGAGUACCCUGAUUAGUGUGACCCUGUUUUUAUGAAAAUUUUGCAGAUGCAUUUCAUAUUCAGCUGUGAUUUGGAGGUUAUUUAAAUAAAGCUACAUGCAAGUUCUGAGUCUUUCUAAAAAAGAACUUAUUACCAUAGAAAUGAAUGCCAUAGAGAAAUUCCUGGUUAAUUUGUAUUAAAACAAUACAAUAUUCUGCAUGGAUUAAGGACGUGUUUUUUUUUUUGUAUAUGUUGAAUAGUCAAAUACUGUGAAAUAUUACCUAAAAUGUUUACAUGUAAUUAGGUAUACUAAGUACAAUUCCAAGGUGCAAGUGUGAAAGAAACUAUUUCUGCAUGUAGAGAGAAAAGAAUAUUUAUAGUGAAAAUAAUUUUAAGUCAUUUUCUAUUUUGUGAUUCUAGUAUACAGUGUAGUGUUAAAGAAAUUUCCAUGAAAUGAAUGAAUGUCAGCAUCAGCUACAUCAUUCACUAUUAAAUAUGUCAUCUGUUGAUUUGGAUAGCAAUUCUAGAUCUACUUUGUGCUUGGCAAGACAGAGAAAUUUCCCACCUCCGCAGACAUAACAUGUUAAGUCAUUGCAAAGAUUAGGAAAUAUAGUGUAUAUCACUUCAGUAAACAUUAGCUUCAAUUUUUUAUCUUCAGAAACUAUUUUGUCUUCUUCCUUAAGUUGUUAAAUGGAAAUUUGUUACACUGUCAUGCCAGGAACUCCAAAGGGUCUGAGUAUACACUCCACAGAAGGCAACAAGUUAGCCUGUCUUAGGUUCACAGUUACUGUCUAAAGUUCUGAGGCCUCUGGGUCAGAGACAAAGGCAGAUUAUUACUCAUAACAAUAGCCCUAGCUGGAGUAUUAUCUUGGUGCUUGUUCCCACAAGGCAAUGAAAGCAAGAUCUUGCCUGCCCAGACAGUAAAGUUGCAUUACUGAGGGCGGACUCUGAUAUUAGAAAGCCCUGGCCUGAUAUAGGGGCUACUAGCAAAUAUCUGGGAGAGAGAGAUUAUUUUGAUCACCUGGAAUGCAAGCAAAUCUGCUCUGGAGAGGAAAGAAAGAUGUCUUUAUCUUUACAGUGUGCAGUGUCUCUGGGAGGGAGGGAGACAUUUCCCAUCUUUAUCAUCCUAGAAUUUAAGUAGGUCUGUCUCUCCAAUGUGAUUUGGUUAAACAAUCAUUUUUGAAAAGAGAGUCUGAAACAAACUAGCAUUAAUAUCUCUGUAUGUAGAAAGACAAGAAAUUUAUGGAAAACUAUAUUCUAGCACCAAAUGUCCAAACAUUUUCAGUUGACUAUACCUCCUUUAAUUGUUAAACAAACUUUUAAUUUGUCAACUGAUUUUUAAUUGUGUAAGAAGGAACACGUAUUUGUGGUGAUUUAGCUCUUAGAGGAUGAGACUUCCACCUUCUCUUUAUAUGGGGAACGUGUCUAGGAAGGGAGCUGCUGCAUGUUCACUUCACAUCCCUCCUCCUGCAGAGAUAACCAGUCGCAUGGUUUUGAACAUGACAAGGUAGGUUUUGCAUCUCAUUUGACUGGGGUUUAGGUUUAUAGUUCUCUUAGACCAAGGACUCAGAUCCUGUCUCUUUUAUCUGUGCUCUGGUACAGCAGGAGUUCCAUACUCUUCCUUGUGAAUUCCCUAUAGCUUGUGUGUUUGUAUUGAGACCAGACAGGCCUUCCCCACAGAGGGAAACUUGUUAUGCUUUGACUGUCUAUAGGCUCUUCUGCCUAUAAGUGAGUGAGUAAGUUGGGUCAUCCUUGAACUGUAGGUGGUUUUCAAUUUUAGGGUAAGAAAAAUAGAAAUCCUACUUUCACCUGUAACCCCAAACCAUGCUUUGUAAGUACAUUUUUACCAAUACAUGUAUUUUUAACUUAAUAGGCCAUUUCUUUGGUAUUAAUAAAUGUUUUCAGUUUAAGUGCCAUUUUGGGGGUACUGGGUGUUCUAUCCAAAGAAUCCUGAGAAGGAAAAAGGGAGGAAAUAUAAAUCUUAGGUCUGAGAAUGUGUAACCCAUUAAUAAUCUCUGUGAGUUGUUUUGGAUCUACAACAGCAAGGCAUUCCCAGGGGUGAAGCUGGGCUCACCAGGAACAGCAAAGGGUUAUGAUACAAUAAAAAUAAGAGUCUGAGAAAGAAAUCUGAAGAGUUUUGGUCUCGGAUUUGUGGUUUGAGACCAAUAACCCUUGUUUCUUAUUUCAGUCAUGGUAGCAAGUGAUGAUUUUAUAAACUCAGAUACAUGUUAAGAGUAUUUUCCUUCCACACCAAGGUGGGACCAUCAAUCAAUGCCGAGAACACUGUCAAGAGAAAAUAAGGAACUACAGUGGUUGUGAUGCUGUUGCUGUCCUAGAUAAUGACCUAAGAUGUAGAACAUAUGUUAUGAUGGCAAAAAAAGGGACAUCACUACAAAGAUGCCCCCCAGUUCCUGUCUCUCAGACACAGAUGCCUUGAGAAAUGGCAGAUAAAUCAUCUUGGAAAAACAUCAGACCACAGGAAAGCUAAAUAACAAUGACCAGAACUUACAAGCCUCUUCUAAAUACAAAAGGUGCAGAAAGUAUCUAGAACACUUACCCAGCAGGGAAAAUUAUAUUUAUGCAAAGCACCUGAAAACUUGUGAUUUGCAUAUCAUUUUUGUCUGACUUAUUAAUCCUAAUGAGUGCUUAUUAAGCACUUAGUGAUGAAAAACAUUAUUUGAAGUAAUAACAGAGUACAAAGUAUUAUUAUGCAAAUGUGUAUGACAAGGGUAUACAGCUGCAGAUUUUAGAUCUUGCUGAUUUUACUUCUGCAAUAUUUUCUUCUUGAAGUUAUCCUCUCCUUCCUGCUUCCAGUACUACAAACCAUUAGUCUUUUGGCCUCUAUAUCAACUUAACUUCCAAAGUGCUCUAAAGUAAAUUUUCUCAAGUUUAGCAUGGUGUUCAAGGCCAUCUAUUUGUUCAUCCCAAUCUGUCUUUUUAGUCUUAUUUUUCAAUACACAUUCCAUCUAUCACACUUCAGUCACAUCAAGGUUGUACCUCUUCUCAUUGCUGUCUGUUGAAAUCUAUUCAUUUUUCAAGACCCAGAAAAUCUGACAGCUUUCCCAUGUAUUUUCUUUAAAUAUUUCUCAAUAUUCAUCUCCUCUUUCUUUAAGGUCCUCAAAACUUUGUUCCUCCUUUUCAGAUAAUAUUUGUAUGAUUAUUACCCGUAUACAGUUAAACUUUUAUUCAAGCUGCUAUAUUAUAAAUCAUGGGAGAUCAGAAAUACGCCACAUUUGUAUACCUUUAGAACCGAGGAGAGCAUCCGGCCCAAAAAUGUUUAGGUAAAUUCACUGCAAACAAUUUAAUUAUCUAAAUGCUGAGUAUGUAUUGUUUAAAGUAAAUAAAACAGUGACAUCCCCCAAGCACAUUUCUACCUGCUAAAAGAUGAGUUGGUACCAAAUAGUCAUUUAAGGAAGAUCUGGAGGGAGAGUUAACAGCUUCCAUUUUGAAGGAUGGUGCAUUUAUAGUUUUCUGUUACUCUUGAUUCUUCCCAAUGGCAUAAAUCAGUUAAUCUUGAAUUGCUUGUUGUAAGUAAAU